AAUGGGAAUGGGAAUGGGAAUGGGACUGGGGAAUCCUCCUCUGGAGUCGGGAUCGGCACCGGCGCCCUUGGAAAUGUGGGAAUUGUAGGGGGAAAAGUGGGAAAGUGGGCUUGGAGUGGGGGGAAAGUGAAAUUGGAGGGGGAAAAGCUGGGCUGUAGGGAAAAAAUGGAAUUAUAGGGGGGGAAAUGGGUUUGUGGGGGAAAGAAGUGGAUUUGGAGGGAAUAAGGGAGGGAAUAAGGUGGAUUUGGAGGGAAUAAAGUGGAUUUGGAGGGGAAAAAGGCUCUGAAAUGUGAAUUCCCAUGUGAGGCUGAAGGAUGAUGAUGAUGAUGAUGGGGAUGAGCAUCCCGGAGCUGUCGGUGCCCUGGGAGCUGGAUUUUCCCCUCCUGGAAAUCCCUUUUCCCACCCCAACGUGCCCUCCCUGACCCCAGUCCCUCCCCCUCCUCCGCUCGGCCGGGACAAAGCCCCGGGAAAAGUCGGGAAUGUUCCGGGAGCUGAAUUCCCUUUGUGCUGGGAGAGGGAAAUCCCGGGAAUGGGGGAGGUUCCAGCCCCAAAAUCCCCAAAUUCCCCUCCUCACGGGAGCCACGGCGCUCCCAAACAGGUGGAAAAUGGGCUGGAAAAGGAGGAAAACCACGAGGAAAACUCCAAGGAAUAAUUCCUUUCCAGGAGUUUCCAUCCCCUGAAAUCCCAGGAGAACCCGGGACACCCCAGGAGGAGGAGUCAGGAAUGAGGAAAACAGGGAAAAACAGGAAAAAAAAACAGGAAAAAAAGGAUUUUUUCCCCCAGGAUCCGAGUGGGAGGAGCUCCAGGAAACGCUCCCAGGAUUCCGACCCUUGGAAUCGCCCUGGAUCAGCAGAUUCGACUCCCAUGGAGAAAAAUCACUUUGGGCUUCAGCACACCCAGGUUUUUUAUUUUCCACCUGUUCUUGGAAAUUCAGGCUUCAGCUCAGGAAAAAAUUGGGAUCUUUUUGCCUCUUGCCACAACUUCACCUCUCACAACCUGGAAAUUUCCUUCCUUUUCCACCUGCUUUUGGAAAUUCCUACCCUCAGUGUGAAAUUUUCUGCCCAUUUUCAGCCCCUUGAGGCUUCAUGACUUCAACAUUUUUACUUUUCCCUCAGUUUUUCCAUAAAAAUUCCAACUUCCUGCCCAUUUCCAGCAUUUUGGGCCCUGCCCCACAGAAAUUUGGGUUUUUUUAAGCCGAUUUUCAGGAAUUUUGGCGCUGUCUGAGCAGCCCUUCCCCAUCCUGAGUGUCCCCACGAGAAAUCCCAUCCACAUUUUCCCCGAGUGGGGAUUCAGGGAUGGAAUUAAAACUCCUUUUCCCAUGGGAAAUGCCCGAGGGAGGAGCAAAAACCUCCCUUUCCUCCCUCCUGACCCAUUCCAGCCUUUUUUGGUGCCCGAUUUAAAUCCCCGCCUCCGGAUUUGCCCCGGAGGAUG